rnacentral:rRNA from 1 species
ACGGAAGGCAGCAGUGGGGAAUAUUGCACAAUGGGCGAAAGCCUGAUGCAGCGACGCCGCGUGAGUGAAGAAGUAUCUCGGUAUGUAAAGCUCUAUCAGCGGGGAAGAAAAUGACGGUACCUGACUAAGAAGCCCCGGCUAACUACGUGCCAGCAGCCGCGGUAAUACGUAGGGGGCAAGCGUUAUCCGGAUUUACUGGGUGUAAAGGGAGCGUAGACGGUUUGGCAAGUCUGAAGUGAAAUGCGGGGGCUCAACUCCUGAACUGCUUUGGAAACUGUCGAACUAGAGUGCAGGAGAGGUAAGUGGAAUUCCUAGUGUAGCGGUGAAAUGCGUAGAUAUUAGGAGGAACACCAGUGGCGAAGGCGGCUUACUGGACUGUAACUGACGUUGAGGCUCGAAAGCGUGGGGAGCAAACAGGAUUAGAUACCCUGGUA